AUGCAAGUCGAAGAAGGAUUGGCCGAUGCUGCCGGCUGGCAUCAAGUUCGAUCCACGGAUCAGGAGCUGAUCGAGCACCUUGAGGCCAAAGUGAGUGCUGACAGCGUGAGAUUUCAGUCUCUCAUCGAUUUGUUCAUACCAACCAUCGACAGCGAGCACAACAUAUGCUACACCCAACCUGAAAAACUUCUAGGUAUCACACUGAGUGGCCUAAGGAAGCAAUUCUUCCAGCGCAAUUCCAAGGCGUUCAAAAGGGGCAUGUGGACGCGUCGCAAGAUACAGUCGGAGUGCGGCAUGCACGCGAUGUGGCACAAGACCGGCAAUACCUUGCCGGUGAUGCAGAGGACCAACUGGGUGAUGCACCAGUACCACCUCGGGGACCUGGAGCAAGAGAAGGAGCGGGAACUGGUCGAGCAAGUUUCAACUGGGCUGCAGACUGCCUAG
rnacentral:rRNA from 1 species